rnacentral:rRNA from 1 species
CUCGUAGUUGGAUUUCUGGUGGGAGCGAUCGGUCUGGCGCUUAGCGCGAGUACUUGCAUCGUCUCCGGCCAUCCUUGGGGAGAGUCUGUCUGGCAUUAGGUUGUCGGGCAGAGGAUCCUCAUCGUUUACUGUGAAAAAAUUAGAGUGUUCAAAGCAGGCUUAUGCCGUUGAAUAUAUUAGCAUGGAAUAAUAAGAUAGGACUUUGGUACUAUUUUGUUGGUUUGCGCACCAAAGUAAUGAUUAAUAGGGACAGUUGGGGGUAUUCGUAUUCCGUUGUCAGAGGUGAAAUUCUUGGAUUUACGGAAGACGAACUACUGCGAAAGCAUUUACCAA